UACGGAGGGCGCAAGCGUUGUUCGGAAUCACUGGGCGUAAAGCGCGUGUAGGCGGCUUGGUAAGUCGGGUGUGAAAGCCCGAGGCCUAACCUCGGAAAUGCACUAGAAACUGCCUCGCUCGAGUCCCGGAGAGGGUGGUGGAAUUCCCGGUGUAGAGGUGAAAUUCGUAGAUAUCGGGAGGAACACCAGUGGCGAAGGCGGCCACCUGGACGGUGACUGACGCUGAGACGCGAAAGCGUGGGGAGCAAACAGG
rnacentral:rRNA from 1 species